UACGUAGGGUGCAAGCGUUAAUCGGAAUUACUGGGCGUAAAGCGUGCGCAGGCGGUGAUGUAAGACAGGUGUGAAAUCCCCGGGCUUAACCUGGGAACUGCAUUUGUGACUGCAUCGCUGGAGUGCGGCAGAGGGGAUGGAAUUCCGCGUGUAGCAGUGAAAUGCGUAGAUAUGCGGAGGAACACCGAUGGCGAAGGCAAUCCCCUGGGCCUGCACUGACGCUCAUGCACGAAAGCGUGGG
rnacentral:rRNA from 1 species